rnacentral:rRNA from 1 species
AACGCGAAGAACCUUACCUGGGCUUGAACUACUGGUAGUAAGUCUUUGGAAACAGAGGCUGAUCCGCAAGGAAGCCAGCAGAGGUGCUGCAUGGUUGUCGUCAGCUCGUGUCGUGAGAUGUUGGGUUAAGUCCCGCAACGAGCGCAACCCCUAUCUCAUGUUGCUAAUCCCGCAAGGGAUGCACUUUUGAGAAACUGCCUUCGAUAAGAAGGAGGAAGGUGGGGACGACGUCAAAUCCUCAUGGCCCUUAUGUCCAGGGCUACACACGUGCUACAAUGGCCGGUACAACGGGAAGCAAUACCGCAAGGUGGAGCCAAACCCUGAAAGCCGGCCCCAGUUCAGAUCGUGGGCUGAAACUCGCCCACGUGAAGGCGGAAUCGCUAGUAAUCGCGAAUCAGCAGGUCGCGGUGAAUACGUUCCCGGGCCUUGUA